rnacentral:rRNA from 1 species
GACGAACGCUGGCGGCGUGCCUAAUACAUGCAAGUCAAGCGGAUUGAUGGGAGCUUGCUCCCUGAUAUCAGCGGCGGACGGGUGAGUAACACGUGGGCAACCUGCCUAUAAGACUGGGAUAACUUCGGGAAACCGGAGCUAAUACCGGAUAAUCCCUUUCCUCUCAUGAGGAAAGGCUGAAAGAUGGUUUACGCUAUCACUUAUAGAUGGGCCCGCGGCGCAUUAGCUAGUUGGUGAGGUAACGGCUCACCAAGGCAACGAUGCGUAGCCGACCUGAGAGGGUGAUCGGCCACACUGGGACUGAGACACGGCCCAGACUCCUACGGGAGGCAGCAGUAGGGAAUCUUCCGCAAUGGACGAAAGUCUGACGGAGCAACGCCGCGUGAGUGAUGAAGGUUUUCGGAUCGUAAAACUCUGUUGUUAGGAAAGAACAAGUACGAGAGUAACUGCUCGUACCUCGACGGUACCUAACCAGAAAGCCACGGCUAACUACGUGCCAGCCGCCGCAGUAA